UUUAUUCACUUCUAUUCAUUUCUAUUAAUAGACUCCUGUCGCAAAUUCAAAAUUUCUUUUGUUCGACGACUAAUUCAAAAAUUAUUUAGAAAUCUUUUAUAACCAUGUAUCGUAUUAUUUAAUCCAUAUAUCCAUGAAAUUUCAUUUCAACUUUCAAUUAAUCUAUUUAUAAUCCAAUUACUUCUUAGAAUGUUAUUUAAUACGAUAUUGAUGAAUACUCAAGUGAUUGUUCAAAUAUAACCAAUCAAGUCUUGGAUACGACGGAAGACAUCGAUAAUUGCGAAGAGAAUAAUAUAUCAGAAGAGUUAUAUGAUUAACAUAUUUGCAUUUGUGGAUUUACAUAUAACACAACAGUGGUUGCUAAAAUUAUCAUACAUUGAUAUAUUCUAAUGUCAGAGAAUUAGUAACUCUGAGUUUUAAUAACAUUGGAAUACUUGGAAGAAAAGAUUUGAUGAGAUUUUUAGCAGAAAUAUUAGGAAAGAAGAAAGAAGAAUUAAUACAUAUAGUUGAAUAUUAUUAUUGCAACAUUUUAUAACAAUAAAUAAGCUUAAUAUAUCUUAUAAUAUCAACUACGACUAUGAAAUACAAUGAAGUAAUGAACUAAGCUCAACAGGUUCUGUGAAAAUGUGAAGUUUAAGGAAUAUCAAAUCUGAUAAUAAUAAUCUGAUCCUAAUGAUUUUAUUAAGAUUUAUUCUAUUCGAAAAGGUAUUCAAGAUAUUUUAUUAUAAAAGUAGAAAAAAAUCUAGUGCAAUAGAUUCUAAGUUGGAUGAAAUUCUACAAAGUAAAAACAGGAAUAGAAGACGAGAUGUAUAAAUUCAUUUAUGAUGACGGAUGAAAAGAAAGAUACUGUAUUUGUAGGCACAUAUAAACAAAAAAAUGAUCAGUAUGUAUAUGAAAAGGAAAUAAUAUAACAAUGAUUUUGAUAUUAAAACAAGAAAGCUUAAAAGAAAUGUAUUGACAUGAUAACUAUUGCGUGGCAAAAACAUAAAAUUCUAAGACAAUUGUUAGUAAUUUUAGAAUUUACAUGAAUAAGUUUCAUAUGUAUCAAAAAAUAUACAAAGAAUCAUAUUGUA